rnacentral:lncRNA from 1 species
UUCAAGAAGCCAAGAAUUGAUAUCUAGAGAGGACCAAUUGUCAACUUGGAUCGAAAUCAGACCCCAAGGCACAAAAUUGCAUACUUACAAAGAUUCUAAGGUUCUUUUGGAAAUCAAAGAGUGAAAUUUGAUAGUAAACUUGAUAAAUUUUUUAUAAGCAUUAAUUUUGUGUGGUUUAGAUUUUUAACUACUUUGUAAGAACCUUACAAAAUCAACAUUAUUUUGGAUGAUUUGGAUUUUUUUGAGAUAAAAUAGGAUUGACAUUUUCAGCAAUUUCAGGAGUUUUGUAGUAGAUAUAUAAGUGAAAUUUUGUAGGUUAAUGGUUAUAGUUGUGCUUAAUAUGUAUUAUAAAUUUUGGCUUGAUUUAAUUGUUGAAUUGAGGAUUAUUGAGGUUUAAGUGGAUCAAGGUCUCAAAAAAUAGAAUUUUAGGUCUAAUAAAGGUUUUUAAGAUUUCUUACAAUCUACUAAUUGGAUUGGAGUGAAAGUUAUGUAUGUAAGUAGUAGAAUUGUUUUUCUAAGUAUAUGAGAAUUUUGAAAUCAAUUGAACAAUGCUAAAGGAGAUGUUACUACUGAAAGAUCAACAUUAAGAUUAAAAAAGGAAGGUGACCAACAUCUGAGUAAUUUUAGGAUUUUUCUUUCAUUUGGUAAAUGCAAUAGUCUUCAAAUUUUUUAUACUUAUUUAUAACUAAGAAAUUGAGAGGUGUGUAAAAUUAUAAAUAAGAUCAAUGGUUUGAUUGAAAGAUAUUGAGGUUCUAAACUACCUUAGGAUUUGAUUUAGGGUUUAGGAUUUGGUCAAGAUUUGAUUUAGGAUUUAGGAUUUGGUCAAGAUUUGAUUUAGGAUUUAGGAUUCGGUUAGAAUUUGGUUUAAGAUUUAGGAUUUAUCUAAGAUUUGAUUUAGGAUUUGGUUAAGUUUUGGUUUAGGAUUUAGGAUUUGAUUUAAGGUUUAAAAUUUGAUUAAGAUUUAGCUUAGGAUUUAAGAUUUGAUAGGAUUGGAUUUAAGAUUUAGGAUUUAGUUAGGAUUUGAUUUAAGAUUUAAUGUUUAUCUAGGGAUUGAUUUAAAGUUUAGGAUUUGUUUAGGAUUUGGUUUAGAAUUUAAAAAUUAUCUAGAAUUUGAUUGAAGUCUAUUAGGAUUUCAACUAGGAUUAAAUUAGAACUUAGUUGAAAUUUAUUUAAG